UCGCCAUUUAAAGUGGUACGCGAGCUGGGUUUAGAACGUCGUGAGACAGUUCGGUCCCUAUCUGCCGUGGGCGUAGGAUGUUUGAGAAGGGCUGCUCCUAGUACGAGAGGACCGGAGUGGACGCACCGCUGGUGUUCCGGUUGUCACGCCAGUGGCAUUGCCGGGUAGCUAAGUGCGGACGGGAUAACCGCUGAAAGCAUCUAAGCGGGAAGCCCCCUUCAAGAUGAGACAUCCCUGAGGCCAUGAGCCUCCUAA
rnacentral:rRNA from 1 species